CACCCGAGGGUGUCUGUAGGGUUUGGUUGAAGAGCCAGACAGCAGUGGGAAGGCAAAACUGGAAAGGAAAAGCUGCAGCUGAAUUCUAGGAGUGGGAAAACAAAUUCUACAAGAGGGAUGUCUGUCAAGUGUCCAUCACACUGUCAGAGCUCGAUGAUGGCAAACAUGCUUGGGAUGGUGCAGACAGAGCAAGAAUUUUUUAAUGAAUCCUGGCUUUAUAAAAUAUACUGUGUAUCACACUGGCCUAGAAAGAUGAGGAAUCUCUAAAAUUCCUGGGUUUGCUUGAAUUAAUUUUGCUGUUAGCUAUGCUGCUGGCCUGGGCAAAUACAGCUUGCUGGUCUCUGUUCCCACAGCUGUGCUGGCCAGUUGGGGUUCUGUCCAGGCUGGAUAAAAACAGCACUGAUGCUGGGUGCCACCUGAGAGUGCCUCAUACUGAGGGCAGUACAGGGAGGGGACAGGAGAGGAGAAACUGUGGGACUUGUUUUGGUUACAGCUCUGAGCUAAGCACUGGUGUUUACUUUUUUGUGCAGGUAUUGUGGAUGCUCCAGAGACAGCGACAGUGACCUCAGUGGACACCAGAGCAUGUGGAGGGACCAGCAGGGGCACAGAGGGAGGGACAGCUCCUUGUUUGAGUGCUGCAACUGGGAAAGCAAAACCUGUCUGCUCAUGUGAGUGUGAGGGAACAGAAGAACUGAGGCAUGGCUGUGAAUUCAAAAGUGAGGUGAACUUGCGGGACAGCUUUUGGAACAAAACCUCCUGCGGUGGCUGAAGUGCCAGCCCACUCUUGAGAACAGAACUCUCUUUCUCUGUGCCUCACUCGGACUCCUCUCCGGGCAAGAGAUCCAGCCCUCUGUGCACAGCCCGGGUAUGAGCCUGUCUCCAGAACCCAGAGCCCUUCUGGCUGCUUUUUGUGCCUUCACAGCCGUCUCCAUGGCUCCUCAGCAGCCAGGGCAGCGGAGCCUGAGCACUGCGAGAUCGAUGGCCUGCGGUGGCCGGACUUGGGACAGUCGCUGUGGCUGCUCCCAGCUGCCCUGGUGCCGUUCCCGGUGCUGCCAGCGGCUGGCCCGGCCGCAGGCGCUGUGUGCCCGGCCCUCUGAGGCGUCCUGGCUGCUCUGGCCAAAGGCCGAGGCGCUCGCCCUCAGCCCGCUCGUGAGCCGCGUGCCCCGCGGCAGGAUGGGGAGAGCUGCUUUCACAACCUGGAUGUGUUGUCACUCACAUCCAGACAUUUCCUGUUAUCUAACCUCAGCCUUAUCUUCCCCAUUCGCAGCUUCCUCUUGAAGGAGGAGCAGCCCCUUCAAAACCGAGCUGUGUGGCCGGGCUGUGCCCCCGCCGCGCUCCUGCACGGCCCCCGCUGCGGCCCCGCGCUGCCGGCCCUGCCUGCCCCGGGUCAGGAUGGCCCAGCUAUGAACAGUCUCACAGCCCUGUAAAAAUACCUGAGCGAUGAUGUGCACUGUGGAGGGGACUUCUCCUGAAUUUGGUAAGGGACUGACUCCAGAAUGCAGGAAGAUAAAUUCUUUCUGUUUUGCCUUCAGAGUAUGCAGUAGAUUGUUCAGUUUUAUAACACUAAAUUUUUACUUGGAAAUACCCACUUUAGCUUGAAACCAGAAGUUCUGACAAUGACAAAUCCAUUCACAUCAGAUACGAUCUCUAUGGGUAGAGUUGCAAGUUCCAUUCCCAUCUGCUGACAGAAUUAUCUCCAUUGUGUCCCCACCCCUUAUCUGUCCCUGACAGCAAAAGUGGCUGUUUUUCCCCUCAGAAAGCCACAAUGGGGGAUUAUUUUAAGCUUCAAUUGCAGAAGCAGUGCUGCCUUGUUUUCUUCUUCCUCCUCCAAGGCCAGAUCUGCCCCUGUUAGACAUCAGCACUGAAACUGAAGGCAGUCUGGUCACUGAUACUGUGGAAGAGCCUCCAUAGUCUUUCUCUAGUGGCUUCCCCACAUUUUGGUAUGGCUUAGAGUACAGGUUCACAUGUACUCUGGUAGACUGACAUUAAAUCAGCUUAUUAACACUUUUCUUAUCUUCAUGAAAUGCACAUGCUGCUGUUAUCCAUUGCCACAUAGUUUUAUCUGCCAUGGCUGAACUGCAUUUGGAAUGAGGAGCCAGAACUGGUCACUAUCUACAUUGCACCCAAGGCAAAGAUGGAGACAGGGGAAUGCCAGAAUUGCAAAGCCUGAGCAGUGACUCAGUCUAGAAACAGAUUUUACCUUUAAAGCUGUAGCUGUUCCAUUGCUCUUAAGUCUUACUCCACUCUCUUCUGGUUUCAGAAAAUAUGUAUUUGCUAUGCUUUCACCUGAAAAAAGCUUUUCCUUUCCAGGUAUGUUUCUGUAUAUGAUAUUAGAUGGAAUCCUAUGAUCAUCUGUGUAAAAUAGGCACAGAAGUUAGAGGUAAAAAUGGUUGAUGAAUUGCCCACUGUAUGAUACUGCUAAUAAACUUAAUCUAAUUCUA